UACGAAGGGGGCUAGCGUUGUUCGGAAUUACUGGGCGUAAAGCGCACGUAGGCGGCCAUUUAAGUCAGGGGUGAAAUCUCGGGGCUUAACUCCGAAACUGCAUUUGAUACUGUGGUGCUUGAGGACUGGAGAGGAGACUGGAAUUUACGGUGUAGCAGUGAAAUGCGUAGAGAUCGUAAGGAAGACCAGUGGCGAAGGCGGGUCUCUGGACAGUUCCUGACACUGAGGCACGAAGGCCAGGGGAGCAAACGGG
rnacentral:rRNA from 1 species